AUGCUUACCUGGCAGGGAAGAUACCUUGAUGAUGAAGAUGGUUUUCUCAGGGCGAGGCUCUCCCAAUGCACUCCGGGUGUUCUGACCCCUGCAAUUUCCCCAAAUGUGGGAAAUUGACUGCAUAAUUUGUAGUAGAGGGGGACCGUGUGCGAGCUUUCCCCUA
rnacentral:snRNA from 1 species